GACGAAGGGGGCUAGCGUUGCUCGGAAUUACUGGGCGUAAAGCGCACGUAGGCGGCGAUUCAAGUUAGAUGUGAAAGGCCUGGGCUCAACCUGGGAAUGGCAUCCGAUACGGCGGGGCUGGAGUGUGGGAGAGGUUGGUGGAAUUCCCAGUGUAGAGGUGAAAUUCGUAGAUAUUGGGAAGAACACCGGUGGCGAAGGCGGCCAACUGGACCACAACUGACGCUGAGGCGCGAAAGCGUGGGGAGCAAACAGG
rnacentral:rRNA from 1 species